rnacentral:misc_RNA from 1 species
UUGAAUAAACUCGGUGGGUUGUAGCUGGCUCCUAUGGAGCAUGUGCACGCUCAUCUUGCUUAUCCAUCCACCUGUGCACACUUUGUAGUCUUGAGGGAGAUGAGAGCGAGUUGAUCUGUGUGGAUUGACUUGUGACUUGUCCUCUAGUCUAUGUGUUUUCAUAUACCCCGUAGUAUGUUGCAGAAUGUAUUCAAUGGGCCUUUGUUGCCUAUAUAAACUAUAUA